rnacentral:lncRNA from 1 species
AUUUGUAAUGUUUUGAACAACCAACAAUAAAAAAUUAAAAAAAAACAAAAAAAAAAGAAAUAGAAUAAAUGGAUAAGAAAUAUGAACUUAACUAAUGUUUUUAUCUUGCAAGGAAUUAGCAAAAUAUUAAGACAAUUUCAGUUCUACUUCCUCUCAAAGAGGCUUCCUCUCAAAGACCUCAAAGUCAGGAAAAAACUGAAAACAUUUUAUCACAUUUGAACUUUCAAGUUUAAAAAAAGUACAUGAAAGAUGUUCAGAUGUUCUUUUCUAGGUUAUACUUCAUGUGCUAUUCUAUAUAAAUGCAGAUUUCUUAUUCUCCUUGUAAAGGCCUUAGAGUUUUGUUGUAGAGAAGCCUAGCAUAAAUUAAACUUUAAAUUAAAUUUCAUUCCAUUGGCAAGUUCUGAUAGAAGUAAUGUUACAUUUUUGGCAGAUUCAUCUUUACUAUGGGUUGUACUUUAAUAUUGCAAAAGUAGUGGGAAGAUAUUAUGUUACUUUAAAUUCCAGAAUAUUGUUAGACCAGCAUUAGAAAUGGUGCAAUUUUAAUAAACAAAAGGAGCCUUAGUAAUAUAUUAAAGGGAUAAUAGAAUUUUAAUUCAGCUCACUAAUCCAGAAACUUCUGAUGGGCUUUCUAUCUUUGAGAAUUUGCUUUUUUUUAAAUCUUUUUAGAAAAACCAGACAGUAAGAUUUUCAAACCUAGUUUUGAGAUUAUGAUUGUGAUGGGAAGAUUUUAUGAAAUUGAUUAGUGAAAUGGUGUAGUUAUUUGUACAGAUGAAAAACACACUAGUCAUACAGUUCAGUCAAGGUACCAUUGACCUGGGUGCUAAUAACAUGCUAAUUUCCAUCAGGGAGACAGCAAUGUAUGGCAGUUGGGCAGCAGAAAGGAUUUAGCUAUUUUUCAUUAGCACUUGGACUUUGAUAAAGGGGAAUAGAAAAGAGCUGCUUGACCUUUCAGUGCUUAAAUUAUUAAAGAGCAAAUAGAUUUGAGGUCUGGAUGCUUGCAAAUCUAAUUUGUCUUGUGGAGCAAGGAUGAAAAGACAUUUGGGGUUUGAAAUUGCUCCGGUCAACUUAGUUCUUUCUUUAAUAUAUCUGGUGAUGAGUAGAUGGUAACCAUUUAAAAAGUAAUAUGUCUGGAGUAGAGUGUAUAAUAUAACUAAUACCAGCUGGCAAAAAGGGAGGCCCAUUAAAUGAUCAUUUCAUUCUCUGAUUGUCACCUAAUCCUCAUUAAAUUGCUUCUGUGGAAAAAAAAAACCUUCUUCAUCCAUAUUCUCUUAAAUGGUACAUAAGUUACAGAAGAAAAUUUUGUUUCAUUAAGAAAUGUCUCAUUAAGGAACAAUAGAUUAUAUAGUUUGAGUUACAGUCAGGCAUUACCUGGCACAGAUUAGGCACUCAAAAAUAUUUAUUAAAUUAAUAAGUAAGUGAACAC